GUGUUCACUUCAUAAUAUACAGAAAAAUUGAGGACACAGAGAUGAAUGGCAUGGGAUUUGCACAAGGAAGAUGUGCAUUUGUAAAGCAUUUCAUAUUUUU
rnacentral:snRNA from 1 species